UCGAGAAUCUUUAGCAAUGCCCGAAAGGGUGACUAUGCGACGCCGCGUGAGCGAUGAAGGUCUUCGGAUUGUAAAGCUCUGUCGAGCAGGAUGAAUACUUUGCUUAUAACAUGAGCAAAGAAUGACCGUACCGCUAAAGGAAGCCACGGCUAACUCCGUGCCAGCAGCCGCGGUAAUACGGAGGUGGCAAGCGUUGUUCGGAUUUAUUGGGUGUAAAGGGCAGGUAGGUGUCCUAGUAAGUUCUGAUUGAAAUCCUUCAGCUCAACUGGAGAACUGGUCAGAAAACUGCUAGGAUUGAGUGCGGAAGAGGAGAACGGAAUUCCCGGUGUAAGGGUGAAAUCUGUAGAUAUCGGGAAGAACACCAGUGGCGAAGGCGGUUCUCUGGUACGCUACUGACACUGAACUGCGAAAGCUAGGGGAGCAAACAGG
rnacentral:rRNA from 1 species